UCUUAUUCUAUUUAAUCAACUUGCCUUGGAUUAUGUGCGAGCACUGAAGACGACAUGUUGGGAGUUAUUUGAGUGGCAGGUGUUACUCAAUGGUUUCGAGACAUCAGGUAACUUGAAAGGAAAAACAUUCAGUUCUGGCCAUGAAAUCUCGCUGAAUCAAACCAUCAAGGUUUAAUCCAACUAGAAAAAACGUUAUUCUGGCAAAGAUAACGAUUGCCGACUGGAAAAAUAUAUGUAAUUCUACCAAAAACAAGAUCAAUCAAUGACAAAUCAUGGAAGAAUUUGAAAUUCCGCUGCCACCAAAUAUGAGCCCAAGCCAACGCCGCAAAGCUACCGACCACCAAACAAUCCAAGAAGAAUCAUCAUCAAAAGGCGACUCCGAAAACACCCUAUCGCAAUCACCACGAACCGCAGGACCUCUUACUAAACGAUGGUUCCGUGAGCAGUUUGGGUUAAGAAAAGGAAAUAAAAACCCCAAAAUAAUUGAGCCGAGCGACGAGAGGCCAAAAAGACAACCCGGUCUUAGACGAACAAGCUCACUACCCGACCUCGCGUCUUUGCUAGAGGCUGCAUCGGUUAAAGGAGUUAAAGUUAGUACGCUAGGUAGACAUCGAUCCAUGAGAGAAAACCGACCUGUUAGCUCUAUAAUAGCAAAAUGAAGAACUGAUUCUUCAUACAGACGGAAGUAGAUAUAUAGAUAGAAGCAUGGACAUUCAAAAGCGAAGACUUGAAGUGUGACAGCUGAGGCACACGGCAAAUGUUUUUUCAGCAUAGGAGGGCUGUGAAAUAUAGCUUUUUUUGGGGGGAGGGAGAAUCAUCGAAUGCAAUCUUCACAGCCAGUCAAUACCAGAUCGGUUAAGAUAAACUGACGGACAGACAGAAAGACAGAUCUGGACGUGAAUAUGAUCGAGACGUCUGUGUAAGACAGGGGAGCAGCGGCUCUUAGACCUAACCUUGGGCGUUAAAUGUUUUCCCUUUUCAGACCACGUUUAUUCACUCGAGAAUA